rnacentral:rRNA from 1 species
AACGAACGCUGGCGGCAUGCCUAACACAUGCAAGUCGAACGAGACCUUCGGGUCUAGUGGCGCACGGGUGCGUAACGCGUGGGAACCUGCCUUUAGGUUCGGAAUAACUCAGAGAAAUUUGAGCUAAUACCGGAUGAUGUCUUCGGACCAAAGAUUUAUCGCCUUUAGAUGGGCCCGCGUUGGAUUAGCUAGUUGGUGGGGUAAAGGCCUACCAAGGCGACGAUCCAUAGCUGGUCUGAGAGGAUGAUCAGCCACACUGGGACUGAGACACGGCCCAGACUCCUACGGGAGGCAGCAGUGGGGAAUAUUGGACAAUGGGCGAAAGCCUGAUCCAGCAAUGCCGCGUGAGUGAUGAAGGCCUUAGGGUUGUAAAGCUCUUUUACCCGGGAUGAUAAUGACAGUACCGGGAGAAUAAGCUCCGGCUAACUCCGUG